GUGAGCUGAGACUGACCCAUUGCACUCCAGCUUGGGUGACAAGAGUGAAACUCCAUCUCAAAAAAAAAAAAAUUACUAACAGCAAUAAGCAUUGAUGAUCAAGCUUGGGAUAACAUGAAGAGCAUUAAACUAUAAAUGAUCAGAGAGCAAAAACAAUCAGAAAGCCAUUAUCUAAGCCCUCAGUUGACAAAAGGAUUCAAGUCAUCCAUUCAUUCAUUCAUGCAUUGAUGUUUACUGAGGACAUACUGUAGUGGCUAACAUUGUGUCAGACACUGAAUGUACAGAAGUACAAGUUUCUGCUCACACCUCGCUCAGUCUGGUGGGUGACCUUAAGGUGGUAAAUGGAUAUAACAGAUUCAUAAGGUGCUACAAGAAUACAAAAGGGAGACACCUGACCUAGGAAGGGAGGUGUGAGGUGGCCUUCCUGGAAGAGGUAGUCAAAAAACAAGUCUUGAAGGACAAAUAGGAGAUAGUAAUGGAAGAAAAAGGCUAUGUCAGGAAGAAGGAGAGGCAUCUGUAAAGGCUGGGUUUCAAAGAGCAAAUCGCUUUAGAGAAAGUUUUAGCAGUUUUAUGUAGAUGAGGAAGACUGUUGCCUUAAGAAACUGGACAGUUACAUGAGGACCAGAUUAGCGAGGGCCUUGUAUGGCCUCAUGAGCCACAUUAAAAUGUAUGAGCUCUCUUUUCUGCAAGGGACUUGCCAGAUCAUUUAGUCGUUUGUUCUCAAACUAGAGCAUGAAUCAGAAACACUUGGAGGGCUGUUGAAAGACUGGGCUUUCUGCUGAGUUUCUGAUUUAGUAGAUCUAGGACUGGCCAAUAGUUUUUAUUUCUAAGCAGUUCCCAGGGAUGCCGAUGUUGCUGGUCCGGGGACCACUUUGAGAAUCACUGCUGUAGAACAGCCUUUUCUUUCAGAUAAACCACUGGGAUCUACAGGUGAAAUUCAUUAACCAAAGUCAUCAGUUGAAAUAGGGCAAACGUGCCAAGCAACCAGAGCUGACACCAGCUUCCUCCCCGCCCCUCACAGUGGAGCUGUUCCUUCUAGGACCAUCAACAGCUUUACCUCUCUCUUCCUCCUUCCCCCCUCAAGAAUUCCACCCUUUCAGUGCUCUGCUUUCAGCGUCUGUAAGGGAAGGAAAUCGGUUGCUCCAACUUAUAUUAGGAUUUACUUUUAAAGAGGAUCCUUGAAAAGGACAGCGUUUUAACCUAAGGGAGUGCAUUUUCGGGCAGGGAGCGAAGCAGGCAUUUCCCGACAUGCCCGUGGGCAAGACCUGAUCACUGCCCAGAAACCCUGCUUUGCAGACGGUGACCACCCCGGCCCGGGAGAACGGGGCCCAAGCUGCGAGCCGCCGCCGUGACUCGGUCAUAAGACCCGCCAGACAGGUGCUUCCUCUCAUUUUCUGGCAAUAAGCUAAAGAAAAGGUGACUUGAGCUUCUCAUGUGUUUUGAUCACUCAACAAGACAGAAAAGGGUGUUCCAUAAUCUAAUAGUGGGAGAGCACAUUGAAAAAGGUGGCUUCUGCAUGUGUGCCAGCUCCUGCAAAUGCAAAGAGUGCAAAUGCACCUCCUGCAAGAAGAAUUCAACGAGGAAAAAUGCAGUGAAUACAUGAAGAAACAACAGGAAAAACGAAAGAUGUACAAAUUUUGACGACAUGAUGAUGUGGAAGGCAACCUCAGGGAAACUGGGAAAGGCGGCCAGGACCUUGGGGACCUGGCGUACCUCCAGGCACACAGCCCUUUCUGCGAGAGCGAGCAGGCGCCAAAGGCGCGGACCCACGGUGUGCACCAAGCAGAGCGCAGGGAGUGGUGCGCCUGGCCCCUCUGCCGCGCACAGCCCAGCCCGGCCCAGCCCAGGACCUAUUUCCUUGAAGAACUCCAGCCUCAUCUGACCUCCAAAUGGACCCCAACUGCUCCUGUGCCGUUGGUGGCUCCUGCACCUGUGCCAGCUCCUGCAAAUGCAGAGUGCACAUGCACCUCCUGUAAGAAGAGUGAGCGCAGGACCAUCUCCAGGAAUAUGGGGGCUGGGCAGAGUCAAAGGAGGGAUCUCCACAGGUCAGAGCCAACCAAUGAUGAGCCUCCCACAUCUCCUUGCUUCAGCAAAUGACUUAGGAUCACAGCUGGAAGGACACUAGAGAUGGUUAAUUCCCAAUCUUCAUUCUUACCAUGGGGAAGCUGACACCAAGAGCGCACACCAGCAUCUCAAGCACAGACCUGAUACUUGAGGACUUUCCUCACUUAAGUGUAUCAUUCUAGGAGACUGUCCUUCCUUUUACUGCAAAUAGCAUGUCAUUCUCUCUCCAGGCUUCUACCAUGUCCUGGGCACAGGAGGGGUGGGCAGCUUUUUCAUGGCAAGACUCUCACCCCAAAGAUUCAGGAGUUGUCUCCUGACAAGCAAUGCCACCCUGAACUAAGGGUCCUUGGGCUGGAGGCAAAGCUUGAGCCAGUCCUCUGUUGGGGCAGGGAGGUCACUGUUUGAGUCUGCUCUGACCUCUUACUCUCCCCUUCUUCCCCAGGCUGCUGCUCCUGCUGCUCUGUGGGCUGUGCCAACUGUGCCCAGGGCUGGGUAUGCAAAGCGGUAUCAGAGAGGUCCAGCUGCUGUGCCUGAUAUCAGAUGUAAAUAACAAAACCCUUACAAAACCUAGAGGUUUUUUCAAAUACAAGCAUAACCCAUUUACUGUGUCUGUUUUCUCAAGUGAAACAUGGGAAUGACAAUAAACAUUGUUGGCCUUA